rnacentral:rRNA from 1 species
AUGAGAAUUAGCGGAUGGAAAGAAAAACUCUUAUCCACUGGAGGUAAGGAAGUUCUUCUCAAGUCUGUUGUUCAAGCUAUCCCAACUUAUGCUAUGUCGGUCUUUAAAAUUCCUAAAAAAAUUUGUAAAGGAAUAACUGACGAGAUGUCACAUUUUUGGUGGGGUGAUGACGACAACCAGAGAAGGAUGCAUUGGAUGGCGUGA